rnacentral:rRNA from 1 species
CCUAGAAGUUUUCCGGUGUUGGUGUUAUUACGUUCCUAGACGACUUGGUCACCAACAUUUCCGAGGCGCACUCACUAAGGCACGUUCCCCUUACUCUCAAGAUCUUUCUCCACCUUCUAUUAGACAAGUUAGAAAAGUUUCCAUGUAACCACUUUACGUCGUUGGUCUAUUUUCUUUACGUAAAGAGGUAGAGGGAGACUACCGUUCACGCUGGGACUACUUCGACGAGGGGAUGUAGUUCCUGAUGGGGCUAUCACGCCGGAACUACCGUGUUGAGGGUAUGUGGUUCCUGAUCGGGGUACCACGCCGGUGCUGUAGUGACGAGGGGAUGUGGCGGUUGAUGUUGGACUCUAGAAUCUUGUCC